UCAUUCUUAUAGAAUUUUAAUAUAAUAUAAUUAUCGUACUCUAUUAUCUUUUCAAGAAACUUGUUAACCGUUUGUUAUUUCUUGCAUUACCGUUAUUUUAAUUUACUUAGUAUGUACUCCCUAUGCAAUUUUACUCUUAAACAUUUUCCUUCGGGUUACUUCAGUUUCUCUUAUUAUUGUUAACUUCAUUCGGUGUUUACAUUAUGGUUGUACGUCUUACUUUGAGAAAAAGGGAAUACGUCGAUAUCUAGGAGUACGAGGAUGAGGACGACGUACGACGUUUCUUCGAAAGUGGACUCGAGGAUUUUUCGCUUAGUCGCGCCCUAUCAAGUCCGAUGAUCUUUCGAUUUCGCGAUAGUCCCGAGACGCUGAAUGUCGGUUGUCCCAUUCCACUCAAUCGCUGUAAACACCGACUAUAUCUCUGCUACUACUACUACUAUUAUCUACUAUCUACUACUAAUACUACUACAUUCUUUUUUCUCGCUUAGUCGAUUCAUCGAUUUCAAAAAAGGAGAGAAAACAAAUUUGACAAAGUUACGAAGGUGGUGGUAGUAAGAAAAGGUCGUCGUCGUCGUCGUCGUUUUAAAGUUCGGUAGAAGAAGAAGUUGAAGAAUCAAAGAGACGUACUUUCUCCGCGUACGGAGAGGUGCGUCUAACAACGGUAAGAAGACUCGAGAAUAACUUGGAAAAGGGAAUACGACGAACGAGAAGGGGGAGAUGUGCUGCUGCUGCUACUGCUUGCUUGCCACGGGUCCGUGACUAGUGCGAAACAGAAAACAAGAGGGAGUAUAAACGACAAAGGAGCUCGGCAUUAUUAUGUGCCGGGGCUUAAUGCAUGACAAUGCCAAGCAGACUCUCUCUCUCUCUCUCUUUCUCUUUCUCUUUAUCUUUCUCUUGCUAUCUCUCUCUCUCUCUUUCGUUCCCGGGUCGUUCCUGCGGGCACUGGCUCAAGCACCGCCAUGGGACUGUCGUUUCACAAUGCUACGCUAACAAGGUCAGCAAUUAAUGAAUCGUUGGCAAUGUGUUGCCAGAAAAAUACGCGAACCUGCUGGGACCGAUGUAUUAUUAAGGAGGAGGUCUCUAUACUCUUCUUUUUUUUUUGUUCAUCCCUCAAUUCCUCGCUCUUCUUCGCGCUCGUCGUUUUUAUCUCAUUCUCGUUCUUCAUUAUUUAUAAUUUMUUUUAUUUUAUUUUUGUUUGAUAAAAAGGAAGAAA